GGAGGGGCCAUGUUGCUUGUGCUAUUGAUUGUUACAUGAAGCAAUAUGGGGUCUCAGAUAAGCAAGAGAUAAUUGAUGUCUUCAACAAACAAAUUGUGGAUUUGUGGAAAGAUAUCAACGAGGAGUUCCUUAGACCAACUUCUAUGCCGAUGCCUAUCCUUGAACGUAUUGUUAAUUUAACAAGAGUCGUGGAUCUCCUCUACAAAAAAUAUGAUGCCUACACACAUGGUGGAAAAGUGAUGAACAAUUGCAUCGCUUCGUAUUUGAUUGAUCCGGCACCAGUAUGAGCCUAUGAGUUGGAUUAUGAGAAAGAACUAGCUGUGCUUUAUAUAUUCUCUGUUUGAAUAAUAUGACCUAAUGGCUUUGAGUUAGCCUUAGUGUCAGUUUAGUAUUGUUGUACUUCUAAAAAAAUUGUUU
rnacentral:lncRNA from 1 species